ACAAUCAGCUGUUGCCGGCUAAAUCAAACGGGCGUAUUUUCCUCCAGUAGAUUUUUAUUGGUAUUAAUGACACCGCGCUGCGAGAACUCAUCUAGCCUAUCUAGUUACACUGCGAAUCCUGCUUUACUCUAUUGGGAGUAAAAAGUACCCUCUUUUUGCUUAUCUAUGAAGCUGUCAAAAUAAAGGGUACUUGUCAAUUUCUAAAAAAAGGUAACUUUUGCCCAUCCUGGAGUUUCAAUCGUAUACUCUUCAAUGAGUGAAAAAAUCCUUGAACAUUUUCGUAUGGAGCUGGAUGUUCAAAACUGAUGCUGGUGAUUUGUCUAUGCUGACGUUGCUCAACGAUUUUGCGGGAUGUUCGAGUUCUGGAGGUCCACCAGGAAAGGCACAAUGAUCGAAGUAGGACCACAGGAGCAACGAUAAAGUCGGGUGAGAAAAUUACAUCGACCGAAAGUCAGAUGCGGGCAGUGCGAUUAGUGCUUUCAUUCUCUUGAGCCAAUAUGGCAAAUAUACAGGAAUAAAAAUAUUAAAUAUUGAAUAAAACUAC